rnacentral:lncRNA from 1 species
CUUUAUCCUAGACACACUGUGGGUAUGCCAAAAUUACUACCAAGACCCCAAAUGGAGGCUUCACACCCCAAUCAGGCUCACAGUACCAGUGCCCAGGAAAGAAUAACAUAGGUCAGCAUGUGAGCGUAUAUCAAGCCAGGCCUGAGAAGAUGCAGCUGGUCGGACUCACCCCAGGAACUGGAUGGUCAGACUGGACACUUCUGUUGGCCUGAGAGAAUUGGGAGGAUCUGCCUGGCACCAAAGUGCCAUUGCGGUUGGCACCGAGACCCAAUCCACAGGUGGCUCCAUUCCAGCAUCAUUGGUCCAGAGCCUGGGAAAGCAAGAGAGAAGAAGUGGAAGGAAGAAGGAAAGAAAGGACAGAAGGCAGGAGGAACCCAGCACAAGCAGAGAGAGGCAUAAGGCUCCACACAAGCACCUCCAUUUGAUCUGAUCCCGACACUUGGCACAUACCUGUUGGGUGGCAGGAAUGAUCUGAGCCUGGGAGAAAUCAAGGUUCCAUUCAUUGAUAAGCCUUGGUAAGACAAUGGACAGGCACAGUCCUCAGUGGUUACACAAGAGCCAUGCU